GGAACGGAUCAGCUGGGAAUGCCUGUCAGGCCUGUCAGGCAGCCAGUGAGCUCCCUCCCUUCUCGCUGGCUUUCUUUGAGCACAGGGGCAGCAGCCAGGCACGCUUUCUGGCUGCAUUGUUUGCUGCUAGCGAGAGAGAUUGUGAGUGGGGAGCAGCAUGGCAGAACAAGAAGCCAGUGGCUUGAAAGUCCUUCUUUCCACCCUCCAGAGCUCCUGUGACAAGGAUGUCCUCCUAAAUAUCCUCAGUGUCCUCACUGACCUGCUGUCUUUGGGGACUGGACGAAGAAUUCACUAUGUGAUCAGCAAAGGGGGUAGUGAGGCACUGCUGCAGGCCCUCAUCUCUGCUGCCCGGACCGAGCCACCCGACCCCACCAUCCUCCUGCCUCUGCUUCGCCUCCUGGCCAGGGUUGGCCAACAAGACCGGAAGUUUGGGAUUAAAGUGCAGAAAGCAGAAGCAACUGAUGUAAUUCUGAGCUUGACGAGGCAAAACCUGGGUCACCACCUGAACCUCACCCACUGCCUCUGGGUCCUGCGGGUUUGUGCUUCUAAUGUUGCUGCCGGAACCACGCUUGGCAUCAAUGGAGCCAUGGAGCUGCUUUUCAAAGUCAUCACUCCCUACAGCAAGCAGCACAUCAGGACUGUAAGGGCAGCCAUUGAGGCUCUGGCAGCAUUGCUGAAAUCAAAAUCUAACAGUCGACAAGCAGUGAACAGAGGUUAUCUGGGUGGAUUGCUGAGGCUCUAUCAAGACUGGCAUCACAACGAUGUCUCCAACAACUACAUUUAUAUUCGUAGAGGUCUCCUGCUCUGCCUAAAGCACAUCACCAACAUCCAGCUGGGCAGGGAGACUUUCCUUGGUUCUCGAGGUAUGGAGAUUCUCUUCACAAGUGUGCAGGACUGUUUAUCUUGCAAGAAUCUGGAUCCAAUUGUAACCACUGUGACUCAGAUUCUACGGAAGUGCUACCCCAAGGAACCUCUGCCUCUGGUGACAGUGAGAAGUUGCUAUUCCUUCCCUCUUCCUGGGAACAUCAAGACUGAAUGUCCAUGUAUGGGAUCUGAAGGUGAAUUGCUGAAGGAUGAUAAUGAAAGUGAUAGUGAGGAAGACACGGAGAAAGACCUGAAUAAAGAUGAUGUGGAGGGAAAAGAGGAAGAUUAUGAUUUGGAGACAGAUGUAAACAAAUUGAGGUCAAGGCCAGGGCUUGACCGGCCAGAGGAAGAGCUUGGGCAAUAUGAAGCUAUGUGUCCAGAACUUUCCCGUAAUUUUCAGGAGCUUGAUUCAGAGUCCGAAGAAGAGAAGAAGUCAGAAGACAGGACUGAGAAUCUUCCCUCCACUUCAUCUCAUUUCAUUCCAAGUGGUAAUUCUGUGAAAGAUCCAAACCAUAGAUGGAGGACCCAAAGUGACACAGAGGCAGAAUCAGAUCCACGGGAGAAGGAUUUCAAAGCUUCACUGCAGAGUUCAAUAAAGAAGGAGAAAUGCUCAAGGAGUCUGCUCAGUGAAAAGAGAGAGAUUGCUGAAACAGUCCAAAAUGCAAAUUCCUAUGAAGAAGAGCCAGCCAAGAGUCAUACAUUUUCUCCAUGUCCCCUCCCCAAAGAAGCUGCUUGGUACAAAAAAAUAUUUAACCCUGAGUGUGACCCUUCAAUUGAUCCUACUUCUGGAGUCAGAUCAGAGACCACAGAAAUAAUGACAGACCUUCUGGAGGAACACCAAGGGAAUAUUCCAUUCCACAGCCCUCACUUCUACAUAGCCAGGGCCAAAUGUACCAAGUCCAUACCAGCCUACAGAGACUUGGCAUUCCCUGAUUUCUGGGGCCACCAGCCUCCUGCUUAUGGCACGCCCAUGCUGGAUCGGCAGUAUGGAGUUCAAAGGGACAAAGUACUUGAUGAUGUUCGUCGCUUAAUCCAGCCUGGUGAUUUGAUUGGAAGAACUGUUUUUGAUUUAGAUGAGCCCAGUCACUCAAGCCCAGGUGCUCCAAGCUGUCUGACAUUCUUCUCCAAGUUUGAAUCGGGUAACCUUCGCAAAGCCAUCCAAGUGCGUGAGUUUGAGUAUGAUUUAAUUAUGAAUGCAGAUGUGAACACCAACCAGCAUCACCAGUGGUUCUACUUUCAAGUCCGUGGCAUGAAAUCAGCAGUUCCCUAUCGCUUCAACGUUAUCAACUGUGAGAAGCUCAAUAGCCAGUUUAAUUACGGCAUGCAGCUGGUUCUGUAUUCGGUGAAGGAAGCUCUCCAGGGCAGGCCUCGCUGGCUUCGAGCAGGACAUGAUAUCAGCUACUACAAAAACCACUACUGCUGCAGUGCAGCUCCAGGAGGAGGCUCAAGAGGAAAAUGCUAUUACACUCUCACCUUCAGCAUCAAGUUCCCUCACGAAGAUGAUGUCUGCUAUCUGGCCUACCAUUACCCCUACACCUACUCUGCAAUGAUGUCCCAUCUUGAUGUCCUGGAACAAAGCAGGAACCCCAAGAAGGUCUACUGGAGGCAACAAGCGCUUUGCCAGACACUAGGAGGAAAUACAUGCCCAUUGCUCACAAUCACUGCUAUGCCAGAAUCUAAAACAAGUGAUGACUUGGAACAAUUCUACAGUCGUCCUUAUGUCUUUCUGAUGGCCCGUGUUCACCCUGGUGAAAGCAACGCCAGCUGGGUAAUGAAGGGGACCUUGGAGUUCCUUGUGAGCAGUGAUCCCAUUGCUGAUCUCCUGAGGAAAUGUUUCAUUUUCAAGAUUGUCCCCAUGCUCAAUCCUGAUGGAGUCAUCAAUGGCAACCACCGUUGUUCCUUGAGUGGAGAUGAUCUGAACAGACAGUGGCUGACGCCCAGUUCUCAGCUUCAUCCAACAAUUUACCACACCAAAGGUCUUCUGUAUUAUCUGCGCAGCAUCGGCCGGGCCCCUCUGGUAUUCUGUGACUACCAUGGCCACUCCCAGAAAAAGAAUGUGUUCCUCUAUGGUUGCAGCAUCAAGGAGACUUUGUGGCAAGCAGGCUGCACGGUUGACACAGCAGUUAUCACAGAAGAUGUUGGCUACAGGACUCUCCCUAAAAUCCUGGACAAAGUGGCCCCUGCGUUUGUCAUGAACAGCUGCAGCUUCCUUGUAGAAAAGUCCCGCAAGUCGACGGCCCGGGUGGUGGUGUGGCAGGAAAUGGGUGUGCUGAGGAGCUACACCAUGGAGAGCACGUACUGCGGCUGCAGCCACGGCCUCUACAAAGGCUUGCAGCUGGGAACUCAAGAGCUGGAGGAGAUGGGAAGCAAGUUUUGCCUUGCUCUGCUCAUUCUGCACCUCAAAUCCUUGCCCUGCAGCAAGAAGGUGAUGGCUCAGGCAGCGCUACUCCUAGAUCUGGAGGAAGAAAUAACAAUAACAGACCGGGCACAAAGGUGCAGCCCAGACAACACUGAAACCCUGGGAAUCUGCUGGCAGUGACUAAUGUUCAUCUCCUUCCCCCUCUGUGCUGUGGUCCUGUUUACCCAAGAUUCUGCCAAGGCUUCCAUCGCAGACAUGAAGAAAUCUGGAAAGCCACCUCCAUGCCCUGAUGUAGCACUACAGCAGAGCCCUGAAGUGGCAGCUGUGAAAUGCAGAACAGCCAGACAAAGCUGGUAACAUGUUUGUACAGCCCGUGGUGUCAGGAGGAAUCAGCUCCACGGAGCAGACGAGGAGACCGAGAAGUGAAGUUUUAGGUUCUCUCCUUGGUUUGCUACAUUGCAAAGCAAGCUGUCCUCAAGUCCUCUGGGAAGUCUCUGCACAACAAUUAUCCCUCUCUUCGAGUCUGAAACGGAAUUACUGCACAGGAAUCUGGCGAGGUUCAGAGAAACACUGAAAGGUUCUCGCAUUAGAGACUUCAAAGUGUGACCCUGUGAAUGCCAGAGGCCAGCUAGCACCUUCCUCCAGAAGCACGUAUCGGGUCUUGACCACAGAGGGUGGUUAGUGUGCAGCACUGCAGUACACACAACCCAACCUGCUGCAAAAUUACUCCCCCACAUGGAUCCCCUCCACUGAGGACAAUGUGGGGCACAACGCUGUGCUUGGGAAGAUGCUUUCCUUUGAAAUAAGGCUGAGCUACAAGGAAAACUGCCUGCAGAAGAGCUUUGCUGAAUUUAAGUGCGCAGAGCUCUGGGGCAGAUGAUGGAGUGGUGUUCUCACCCUGGCCUGGAGAAGAACCUGUCUGUGAAGAGCACUAGAGACAAUUUCUCCAUUACAUAACCCGGCCUCAACUCCACUGAAGCUGUUAACAAAGGGCUAACAGCACGGUUUUGUGAUGUGAUUCCUUUCCAAUUGCAGCUGGAUCCAGAGAAGGUGUUUUAAAGCUGCUGCACAGAGGUAGUGAUCUUGCUGUACAUGGAGGAGUCCCCUGGUGUAACGCCAUCUCUCUGUUACUGUCUGUGAUGAACUCUUAAAACAAGGACUUACAGAUUUUGUCACCAUACGAGAAGCAGGGUCACAGACACAUGGUAUCAAACACAGGCUCCUUCCUCACCUGUUGACCAGACGGACUCAGCAAUAGUUUAGAACUAAGUUGAACUGAGUGCAGUAGAAGAAUAAAAUUUGUUCCUACAGAAAUGCGAGUGUUUUUUCCCAAAAGCAUGAAACAUAAUUAAUGGACGUGACUUCUGCACCAAAAAAAGUCAUAUUGGCUAUGAACUGACUGGCAAGACUUACAACAUCUCAUGGCUCACAUGGGACUGGGAUCCAAAUAUCUAGAAUGUCAUUAAGUCAGAUUUGGGCAUCAAAUUUGAGCCUCUGGCAGCAGGAUGUCAAAUCCUGGGCUGAGCCUCUUCUGGCUUAUUAGUUCCCGAGCUCAAAAUGACAGACUGUUUCUACAGCAAGCAAACUGCUGCUCCAAAAGAAGAGAUCAGUGGGAGCAGUUGGGCAUUGACGAGCAAAGGCCGAGUGCCUGCUCCAUGAUGUUUAGGUCUUUGUGAUAAUAAUUAGAUCUUAAAAUGUGUCAGUUCUGUAUAGGGCAAAUCAUCAGCAUAGGCCAGCAGCCUGUUUCCAUGGGAGUGAGUGUGUCUGCUGCUGUGUGACUUGCAUAAGAGCUAGCUAAUGCAGCUGUGACCCUGCAUAGCUGUAUCUCAGCUUGUAAGCUGUGGAAGCAGGAUGGGAAUGAUGUGAAAAUGAAGGACUCUUGCUACCUCCUGACUUCUGCUGUCUUCAUCACUUCUGACUUUCAUAAAACGUUCCCCCGCAGAGGUGCAGUCAGUGUUGCUGCUAUAAAGGCAGUGAGGAACACUGCCAGUGUCCAGGGGUCCUCAGAGAACAGCUUUCUUUUCCCAUCAGAAAAACUGUGGCUAUGAAUUACCAUUUCUAUGUUGCUUUGAGAGAACAGAAAUGUUACGUCUGUGUUCCUUUCUGUUUCUGCCACUCUCUUGCUACCUCAAUAGUAUUCAUGCUAUGAGGAAGGACGAGAUCACUUUCCUUGGGAAAGAGGAGGUACUGAGGUAACCAGGGAUGACUGCAGAACCAGGACAAGGAGAAAUGGUCAUAUGGACUGUAAAACUGAGCCACUGCACUAUACUGAAGUCAAGCUUUCUCUGUGCAUUGAUGCAUCCCUGUUAUCUAGGGGAACCAUGGCAAGCAAAUUCAUUUGUUGCAUAUACCUUCUCCAGACCAAGGAGAGGAAAAUUCUCCUUCCCAUAAUCUCCACUUUCUCAAGACUGACUCAAUCAUCUCUGUUCAAGAGGAUGAAGAGAAGAAUUUGGUGAUAUAUGGAAAUGGCUGAGUCACGGCCUGAACUACUGAUUGAGCACCUGGGGAAAGGACCCGGUCAGCUCUGGAAGCACAGGUGAAGGCAAUUCAGCUGUGUGAUCAGAAGGGGUGGAGCCUGGUUGCACCUCUGUUAGACCUCAUUGAAGUGCUGACCCCCACUGCAGAAGGAUCUCUGGUUGGAGAUCUCCUCCUUGUGCUUUUUCCCUGCGACCAUAGAGAGAUGUUGAAAGCUUCUGGAUGACAGAGGAGGAGAAGCCCUUAUGUUGCAAGGACUCGGUGAACACAAGUGAUUAUAUGAUGAUGAUGAAUGGAAGGUGGGCUUAACUGUGACCAAGAGCACACAGGCAGAUACACUUGUGUGCUUCCUUCCAGCAUGCACUGCUCUGAUUUCUGCAGGGGACCAAAGAUCUCUUCUAGCAAAAACAACAACAACAAAAAAGCCUAAAUUCAGGAGGCAGAAUCCACUGAAGAUGCUGGAAAGCUGCAUAGCUGAAACUGUGAAUGAAAGAGAAGACUGUUUACCAGGCAAUAGGGAAACUCCCAGCACAUGUUCUCAGAAUCACCUGUCUGCAAUUCAGCACCCCGUGGACACAGGCGCAGGCUUGAGAUGAGGCAGUGCAGGCUCUUUUCUGACCCCACAAUGUAUGCAUCAGGGGACAUUUAGAGGACCAAAUGGUGAAGAUCUCCCAGAGGAUCACCCCGAAGCUCCAGACGUCACUCUCCGUUGUGAACUUCCUGUACAUGAUGCUCUCUGGAGGCAUCCAGCGGAUAGGCAGCAUGGUGUGUCCUCCAACCUGCAUGAGGAAAAAGGCAUGAGGAGAUCUGAGGACCUGAGGAAGCACUCAGCUCUGAUGGAAUAUGGACGGACUUGGGGCCUCCCCAUGAGAUACAUCAACACGGAGCCAAAAGACCUGGGUUGGAUACAGCCUCCCCGACCGCCCAUGGGCUUAACCGCCAGUCCCACCUGGUUAGCACGAUGGAUAGGGAGUGAAAUGUAUCAAGACGAAUGAUGUCCCCUCCUCCCCAGAUGGGCUUGUAAAGUAAUAAAACAACAAAAUGCCAAGGGUGUGCUCAAACCCUACAGUGAUGAACCAGGAGGUAAGGCAAGGAGCAGAGUGUUCUGUGGGGUGCUGCAGUGGGUUUUGCAGGGCCUCAGCACCCACCAGAAAUACAGAGCAGGGUUUGCUGCUCCUUGCUGAGGCUUGCUAAAAGCCGAAUGCAAGCCUGUGCUCAUCACCUAAUUGUGUGAAAGAUGUUGUGCUCGUAAAAUUGUGCUACAGGCCUUUUUGAAGAGUGCUAUGAAUAUGUAAACGACUGCAGGACCGCAAUGCAAAAAGGAGGCCUGUAUGUAAAGAAUAGGCUUGUGCAUGCAGGGAUAUGCCCAGUGGUUAAUGGAGGUAGGAAAGCCAGUUCUUUGGAGAGCUUGGAAAUGGAGGAGGCCAAAGGUGAAGUCCCGUUGGAGUAUUCAGGAGAGAAAGGUCCUUUCUCCAUCAGGGUCUGCAGCCUUUCAGUAUCUAGUGGGGAUAUAAGAAAGAAGGGGGCAGACACUUUAGCAGAGCCUGUUGCAAUAGGACAAGAGGAGAUGGUUUCUAACUAAAAAAAGGAGAGAUUUAGAUUAGAUGUAAGGAAGAAGUUUA